AGUCGUGCAAUGGGGCUUGAGGGAGGAAGGCAGAGCCAGAUGGCACAAGAGGAAAUGAGAGAGGAGGGAAGGGACGCCUCCACCCGACAGCCACGCCAGUGCUGCAAUCGCCGACACGGAGGUUAGAAACAUGUUUUUAUCACUGCUGUAAAACACGAAAGACCGGAAUGCCUGGAUCCGGCGCGGGGAGCCCAGAGAGCUCGGAAGAGCAACGCCUGCGCGCCGCAGCCCGAACCGUCCCGUCGGAUCUCGAGUGUAGGAGCCGCUUCCCCGUCCCUCGGAACCGCGCAUGUGGCCGAGCCCUCCCGGGAACCCGGGCCUGGCCUGGCCGGAUCCUGCGGUCCGCAACCAGAAAGCCCAGGUCCGGCCCCGCCUGUGACUCCGCCCGCGCGCUGCGCCUGCGCGCCCGCCCCGUCUUACCUUCGCCGCGGGACUCCGGACGAGCGCGGGCACAGGAGGAGGUGUCCUAGGAAAAGAGGCUGUUGGAGACAAGUCUUGCUUCAAGCAGCUGCAUAUGCUGAGCAGGCCACUGGUCCGUGUGUCUGUGGCCCCUCUCCCAGACCCAGCUGUGGCAUUCUCAGAACAGCAACACCUUACCUGAGGUUUGGAUGGGCCCGUGGUGUGUCCUCCAGUGACCUGAGUCUCCUCCCUUACCUGCUC
rnacentral:lncRNA from 1 species